UACGUAGGGGGCAAGCGUUGUCCGGAAUCAUUGGGCGUAAAGCGCGUGUAGGCGGCUCGGUAAGUCCGCUGUGAAAGUCCAGGGCUCAACCCUGGGAUGCCGGUGGAUACUGUCGAGCUCGAGUCCGGAAGAGGCGAGUGGAAUUCCUGGUGUAGCGGUGAAAUGCGCAGAUAUCAGGAGGAACACCAAUGGCGAAGGCAGCUCGCUGGGACGUGACUGACGCUGAGACGCGAAAGCGUGGGGAGCAAACAGG
rnacentral:rRNA from 1 species